rnacentral:rRNA from 1 species
UGCCAGACUCCUACGGGAGGCAGCAGUGGGGGAUAUUGGACAAUGGGGGGAACCCUGAUCCAGCGACGCCGCGUGAGUGAAGAAGUAUCUCGGUAUGUAAAGCUCUAUCAGCAGGGAAGAAGAAAUGACGGUACCUGAGUAAGAAGCCCCGGCUAACUACGUGCCAGCAGCCGCGGUAAUACGUAGGGGGCGAGCGUUAUCCGGAUUUACUGGGUGUAAAGGGGGCGCAGACGGCAGCGCAAGCCAGGAGUGAAAGCCCGGGGCCCAACCCCGGGACUGCUCUUGGAACUGCGCGGCUGGAGUGCAGGAGGGGCAGGCGGAAUUCCUGGUGUAGCGGUGAAAUGCGUAGAUAUCAGGAGGAACACCGGUGGCGAAGGCGGCCUGCUGGACUGCGACUGACGUUGAGGCCCGAAAGCGUGGGGAGCAAACAGGAUUAGAUACCCCAGUAAAU